UAAACUCAGGGCUUGCAUGGUAUUGACCAGAAGUCCUCCUGGCACUGACCUUCUGUCUCUGUCUAUUCUUCUGUCUCUGUUUUUUUCCUCAGCCUCAUGCCCUACUCAGCUACCCUAACUCGUUGGCUGGCUCUGACAAGUGGUGCCUGACCUUGGUGCUGAAUACUGGGAAAUAACUGUGAAGGCUACCACCUUAGUAAAAUGAGUGCACUCAGAAAUAGUGGAAGUGUGGAAGAAAAUGAAGCUCAUUGGCUGCCUAAUGUGUGAAACAGUGGAAUGUUGUCCUGAUGUUGCUAAUGGCCAUCCAGAGGUGCCAGAGUGAGACCAAAUGGGCCUAUGUUCCUCAUCCACCUGUGUUACAUCCUGUGAUUUGAGAAGGAAAGGAGAAUGUGGUUGCAGUCAAUGAUACCUGGCUAUUAAAUUUAUCUUCCCCUUAAGAAUUACCAAUUGCUAGCAAUUUUUCUUAUUUUAGAUAUGGUAAAGGAAUUCCUGUAUGUUUUUCAAAAAAUAUUACUUUGGAGGGAUGUCUUGGAGUGUUUUCAAAACAAAUAAAGGGACAUGAUAAACAGUGUA